rnacentral:rRNA from 1 species
CAGUUUAUAUCUUGNAACUGCNAACGGCUCAUUAAAUCAGUUAUAAUCUACUUGAUUGUAAAAUCUACAUGGAUAACUGUAGUAAUUCUAGAGCUAAUACAUGCAAAAAAUCCUGACUGUUAUGGAAAGGAUGUAUUUAUUAGGUACAAAAUCAAUGCUGGCACUUGUGUCAGGUUUAUUGAUGAUUCAUAAUAACUAAACGAAGCGCACGACCUUGAGUUGGCGCUGAUACAAACGAGUUUCUGCCCUAUCAACUUUCGAUGGUAGUAUAGAGGACUACCAUGGUUUCAACGGGUAACGGGGAANUUAUAUUUGUUAUUAUAAUCUUCGGAUUUUAAUAACAAAUAUAAGUCGGCGACGAUUCAUUCGAAUUUCUGCCCCAUCAACUCUCGAUGGUAGGAUAGAGGCCUACCAUGGUCGCAACGGGUAACGGGGAAUA